UAUGGGCGCUGGGCGGGGCUGUCAACCGAGGAACGCGUAAGGCUCACCUGGCCCUGUUAGGUAGUAACUGGUUUCGGUGAUGACCGUGUUAAUGCACCAAACGCUAAUAUUAACUGUCAGUGCUGGGCACGAGGCAGUCAUUCUGGAAGUACCCUGGGACCUUCGCUGGAAGAGCUAAGAUAGUAUCCCGAUAGACGCUGCAUUGGUGAAUGGAACUGCCUCAAUGGAGGGGACUCCGGCCUUCCGCCAGCCGGUCCCUCCAGUCUGACUACCCCGAGUCUACUAUGCUGUGAGGAAGUUCUGCUGGCCAUGUGGAGAGCACUGCAGCACCAGACUUCUAAGAUUUCCAGCCCACUCUCCACCGAAUGCAGCUGAGUAAAUGACAUCAACCGACACCAGGAUAAGGAGAUAUGCAGGGGUGGACAUGAAGAGGUGCUCAAAUCCCCCUUCAAGGAAGGACUUAUUCCCAUCGUUGCCGUGAGAGUUUCAGUGGAACAGCUUUCCGUCCCUUCAGGGAACACCUUACCUACAAAUAGCCACCUCACCAAGGUCAUGUCCUUCAGAGGAAAACUCAUCUAAUAAUGGCUGGAGGAGCCAGUCAUGACAGGAAAACUUUCCUCAGAAAGUCUACUCUCAACACGCACCACUGCAAAUGAGGAAAGGAAGCUGAAGGUAGGGAGAAGACAGAUAUGAGUGGUAAGAUUAGCACAGGCAUGCAUAAAAAAAGAAAGAGAAGAUCACAAGUGAAAUAGAGUGAGAACUGCACUAUGAUGUCCCUUCUGUCACCAUGGCUUGUAGUGGUGCCAACACUGGGAAGGUGGAUGUGUGGGUCAGUAUCCAGAAGUACAGCAGGGCCAAAUCUCCCAUCCACAUUUGAAGGUGGGAGCAGGGAGGAGAGGGUAAAGGGGCUUGCAUUCAAUUUCCGGGCAUGUCCCCUGCCCCCAGGAAAUUUGAAGUCAUGAUGAUUUGGGGAGAGAAGUUUCACAGUGUUCCUUUCCUCUACCUUCCAUAUCAUUUGAUUAUAGUAGAAGAACCCUGGAU